UUUCUUAGAAAGAUUGAACUACCUGUCAUGGUUCACAUCUCAUCUAACAGCCACAUGGGAACCCAUUUAAGAAAAAAAGAUCAAACGGUCAGGUGAAAUAAUGAUUGCCAAGGGGCAUUGAAAAAAAUAAAAGAAAAAAUUGCGGGAACCUCUGAUUCCGAUGUCUCCUAUGGAAAGAGACUGUUAAUCUGUACUUGACA
rnacentral:lncRNA from 1 species